GCAAAGACAGAGAAUUCACGUGCUGCCCAGGCAUAGCCACAUAGCAGGUGGACAUCCCUGGACACUUUUCUGACAAAGCACGCAAUGUGGGGACAACACAGAAAUCCAAGAAAGGCAAGACCAAUUUCAAGGCACUAAAUAAGUGGACUGAGACAAGAAGUACACAGAUACUUCCCAGAACAAAACCCUCACUGGAUUUUCCUGGAAGUACGGAGAGUUACAUCCAGAGAACUCUGAACAUUUUGGAAGGACCCCAAUCCUGCAAACAAUGAAUGGCAAUAAAUCCUGGGACUGGAAAGGUUUAAUGAAGCCAGCUGUCAUGUUGAUGAGACUCAUGUGUCAAGGAACUGAAGAUGGUCCUUAGCCAACAGCCAGCCAGGAACUGAUUGGCUAGUAGUCCUUGAGGAACUGAAUCUCACCAACAACCAUAUAGUGAACUUGCAAAUGGUGCUUCCUCAGUUGAACCUUCAGAUGAGACUGAAGUCCUAGUUAACACUUUGUUUGCCGCCUUGUAAGAUUGUGAAACAGAGGCCUGAGCUAAGCCAUGCCCAGAUUCUUGAUCCACAGAAACUGUGAGAUAAUAAAUGUGCAUUGAUUUAAGCCUCAGAUUUUGUGGUAAUGCUUUACAAAGCAAUAAGUAACUAAUACAGUAUUCAACAAAUUUUUUGAAAAAAAAAAGAUGCUUGAAGACCUGUAUUUAAUUAUUUUUGUGAAGAAUACUCAAUGUAUACUGACUGCACCUGGGUUUUUAGUCUUAACCCAAUCAUAUACUAGUUUUAUGACCCGACAAAAAUUUUUUUCUCUCUCCCUAGAGGUCACUUUCUUCAUCUGUUAAACCAGGUAAUUAAUUUAGAUGAUCUUUAAAAUGUCCACUAGAUUUCAUACAUCUAUCACAUAUGAUUUCAUGUAUAUGUAUAUGUAAAUUUUAUAUAUAUACAAAAUUUAUUUUCAUUUGCAUUUAUGAAACUGGAGAAACAAAAUAAAAUUACAUUUAUUUAUUUUAAUUUAAUCUUGAAAGUAAAUUCAUGUUAUCUUCUAAAAAUGUUUCAAUUUACAAUUCAUCCAUAUUAACUUUAAUAAAAUGAUAUUUGG
rnacentral:antisense_RNA from 1 species